UUACUGAGUUUACGCUCUACAACCCUUUGUGAACAUACCUAUAACUGUUGCUUCGGCGGGUAGGGUCUCCGUGACCCUCCCGGCCUCCCGCCCCCGGGCGGGUCGGCGCCCGCCGGAGGAUAACCAAACUCUGAUUUAACGACGUUUCUUCUGAGUGGUACAAGCAAAUAAUCAAAACUUUUAACAACGGAUCUCUUGGUUCUGGCAUCGAUGAAGAACGCAGCGAAAUGCGAUAAGUAAUGUGAAUUGCAGAAUUCAGUGAAUCAUCGAAUCUUUGAACGCACAUUGCGCCCGCCAGCAUUCUGGCGGGCAUGCCUGUUCGAGCGUCAUUUCAACCCUCAAGCUCUGCUUGGUGUUGGGGCCCUACAGCUGAUGUAGGCCCUCAAAGGUAGUGGCGGACCCUCCCGGAGCCUCCUUUGCGUAGUAACUUUACGUCUCGCACUGGGAUCCGGAGGGACUCUUGCCGUAAAACCCCCAAUUUUCCAAAGGUUGACCUCGGAUCAGGUAGGAAUACCCGCUGAACUUAAGCAUAUCAAUAAGCGGAGGAAAAGAAACCAACAGGGAUUGCCUCAGUAACGGCGAGUGAAGCGGCAACAGCUCAAAUUUGAAAUCUGGCCCUAGGCCCGAGUUGUAAUUUGCAGAGGAUGCUUUUGGUGCGGUGCCUUCCAAGUUCCCUAGAACGGGACGCCAGAGAGGGUGAGAGCCCCGUACAGUUGGACACCAAGCCUUUGUAAAGCUCCUUCGACGAGUCGAGUAGUUUGGGAAUGCUGCUCAAAAUGGGAGGUAUAUUUCUUCUAAAGCUAAAUACCGGCCAGAGACCGAUAGCGCACAAGUAGAGUGAUCGAAAGAUGAAAAGCACUUUGAAAAGAGGGUUAAACAGCACGUGAAAUUGUUAAAAGGGAAGCGCUUGUGACCAGACUUGCGUCCGGUGAAUCACCCAGCUCUCGCGGCUGGGGCACUUCGCCGGCUCAGGCCAGCAUCAGCUCGCUGUCGGGGACAAAAGCUUCAGGAACGUAGCUCUCUUCGGGGAGUGUUAUAGCCUGUUGCAUAAUACCCUUCGGCGGGCUGAGGUACGCG
rnacentral:misc_RNA from 1 species